CCAAUAGCGUAUAUUAAAGUUGUUGCAGUUAAAAAGCUCGUAGUUGAAUUUCGGGAUCAAUACGUCGGUCGUGCCUCGGUACGUGCUAACGUUAUUGGUUUCUCCCUUCUAACAAAUCGUGAUGUCAUUAAUUUGGUGUUACGGGGAGUUAGGACUGUUACUUUGAAAAAAUUAGAGUGUUUAAAGCAAGCAAUCGCUCGAAUACAUUAGCAUGGAAUAAUGAAAUAGGACGUUCGACCCUAUUUUGUUGGUUUCUAGGAUCGACGUAAUGAUUAAUAGGGAUAGUUGGGGGCAUUAGUAUUCAAUUGUCAGAGGUGAAAUUCUUGGAUUUAUUGAAGACUAACUACUGCGAAAGCAUUUGCCAAGGAUGUUUUCAUUAAUCAAGAACGAAAGUUAGGGGAUCGAAGACGAUCAGAUACCGUCGUAGUCUUAACCAUAAACUAUGCCGACUAGGGAUCGGAUGAUGUUAACUUAAUGACUCAUUCGGCGCCUUACG
rnacentral:rRNA from 1 species